rnacentral:rRNA from 1 species
UAAUACGGAGGUGGCAAGCGUUGCUCGGAUUUACUGGGCGUAAAGGGUGCGUAGGCGGUUAGACAAGUCAUUUGUGAAAUCCUUCCGCUUAACGGAGGAACUGCGGAUGAAACUGUCUGACUUGAGACCAAGAGAGGGAGGUGGAAUUCCCGGUGUAGCGGUGAAAUGCGUGGAUAUCGGGAGGAACACCAGUGGCGAAGGCGACCUCCUGGAUUGGUUCUGACGCUGAAGUACGAAAGCUGGGGAAGCGAACAGGAUUAGAUACCCUGGUAGUCCCAGCCGUAAACUAUGGGCACUAGGUGCUUCUGACUUUAUGUUGGAGGUGCCGCAGUUAACGCGUUAAGUGCCCCGCCUGGGGACUACGACCGCAAGGUUG